GUGACUUUUGCACUCACUUUUAGGGUUUUCUCUGCCCUAUCUGGUUUCUCAUUCGUUUUCGGUUAUCCAUUUUUUCAAUUCUUGUCGAUUUUUGUUUUGGUUUUUUGCUCGCUGAUGUUUUCACAAAAUCGGUUUCCACUGAUUUCGCAUUCUUCACUCUUCCAUGUCUAAAAUCUCCGAAAUGGACGUUGCUUUCAAAGACGCAAACGCCAAAUCCCCUCUCUGGGAACAAGUCUCAAGAUUCAAACUUUUGCAUCAAGAAGAUAUAGAGUUUCAAAGAUUUGGUAUGCGUAACAAUGUUGAUCAGCUUUGUGUUUUUGAGUGUGGAAUCCCAGGAAGUGCUUGAUGCUGAACUCUCAGCUUGAGUUUCACAGUUGAUAAAUGUAACUGACAGUUGAAUACAGUCAGUUGUCUUUGUAUACAUGGAUAUUGAUAUUUCCAGUCAUCUUGGAAUGUGGAGUGCAAGUAUUAUGUAUUAACUAAUUUAAUGUAAAAUUGCUCUGGUGUGAUCAAUGAUGAUAAAUUGGUUCCUGGUGAAUUCUGAUUUUUGAGUCUCAUUGUUCUUUUCUCCACCCUUACAAUGUAAUUGUGAUGAUUUUUGAGCUUAUGCAAUCAUUAAAGAAAUUGAUGUUAUUAUUCAGGAAAGGAGAUGUUCCCUUGCAACAGAUCUCAGCUUGUUUACUUACGAAUAAAGGAUGGUACUGUGCCUGUCUGAUUUUUUUCAGAAGUACCUCCUGAAGAAACUUAAUAUUGCCAGUGGAGCAGAGGUGGAAAUAAUGUGUCGAGGUCAGCCAGUGCUCCCAUCUGUACAACUGCAUAAUUUAGUAGAUUUAUGAAUUAAAGUGUAGUUUUUUCCUUUGUUUUUUUAAUGCAGUUUUUUUCUUACUUUUUAAUGCAGGUUUUGUCUUUAUUUUGUGGUGUUCAUGAUUACUUUAUUUGUUUCUUAUGGUUGAUUAUUGGCUAUUUAA